GUAGCUUAAUUUUCUAAUAGUUAGGUUUGGAAAUAGGCAGGUCAUGGAAGGCCUUUGAUUUGUUGGAUCAGUCUGCCCUACUGCUAACAAGACGAAGGAAGAAAAGAAAUUUAAGGGAAGAACUGGUGUUGUUGCUGCUAAGAAGAAGAUCGAGCAAGUUAACAAGAAGAAAUCAUUAGGAAGACAAUGGGGAGCCAUGUGAAAGAUUCAGAUUCCUCCUACUACCUGCGCCCCGGUUGCACACACAUUGGCCCCAGUACCAAGCUCAAGCUCAAGAUUUGGAAACAAGCAGGACUUUGAAGAACAUGGCAUGACUUUGCUUUCUAGGAUCAGUCUGCUCUCCCUCCUAACAAGACCAAGGAAGAAAAUAAGUUUAAGGGAAGAACCAGUGCUUCUAAGAACAAGAUCGAGCAAGCCAACAAGAAGUGUUACUUUGAUUUGCUCCCUCACUUUAGUGCUUCAUACACAAAAAGCUAUAACUUAUGGACUUGCUCAAUCAAACUGUCAAGCGGAUGCAGAUUGAAACCACAUGUACAUAUUUUCAAGAACAAGUUCGUUUGAUAAAAGCUAAGGAUGAUAGAGCCACUAUAACCACUAAUUUGAAAAUAUUUC